AGGAUGAACGCUAGCUACAGGCUUAACACAUGCAAGUCGAGGGGCAGCAUUUCAGUUUGCUUGCAAACUGGAGAUGGCGACCGGCGCACGGGUGAGUAACACGUAUCCAACCUGCCGAUAACUCGGGGAUAGCCUUUCGAAAGAAAGAUUAAUACCCGAUGGUAUAAUCAGACCGCAUGGUCUUGUUAUUAAAGAAUUUCGGUUAUCGAUGGGGAUGCGUUCCAUUAGGCAGUUGGUGAGGUAACGGCUCACCAAACCUUCGAUGGAUAGGGGUUCUGAGAGGAAGGUCCCCCACAUUGGAACUGAGACACGGUCCAAACUCCUACGGGAGGCAGCAGUGAGGAAUAUUGGUCAAUGGGCGCAGGCCUGAACCAGCCAAGUAGCGUGAAGGAUGACUGCCCUAUGGGUUGUAAACUUCUUUUAUAUGGGAAUAAAGUUUUCCACGUGUGGAAUUUUGUAUGUACCAUAUGAAUAAGGAUCGGCUAACUCCGUGCCAGCAGCCGCGGUAAUACGGAGGAUCCGAGCGUUAUCCGGAUUUAUUGGGUUUAAAGGGAGCGUAGGUGGACAGUUAAGUCAGUUGUGAAAGUUUGCGGCUCAACCGUAAAAUUGCAGUUGAUACUGGCUGUCUUGAGUACAGUAGAGGUGGGCGGAAUUCGUGGUGUAGCGGUGAAAUGCUUAGAUAUCACGAAGAACUCCGAUUGCGAAGGCAGCUCACUGGACUGCAACUGACACUGAUGCUCGAAAGUGUGGGUAUCAAACAGGAUUAGAUACCCUGGUAGUCCACACAGUAAACGAUGAAUACUCGCUGUUUGCGAUAUACAGUAAGCGGCCAAGCGAAAGCAUUAAGUAUUCCACCUGGGGAGUACGCCGGCAACGGUGAAACUCAAAGGAAUUGACGGGGGCCCGCACAAGCGGAGGAACAUGUGGUUUAAUUCGAUGAUACGCGAGGAACCUUACCCGGGCUUAAAUUGCAUUUGAAUAUAUUGGAAACAGUAUAGCCGUAAGGCAAAUGUGAAGGUGCUGCAUGGUCGUCGUCAGCUCGUGCCGUGAGGUGUCGGCUUAAGUGCCAUAACGAGCGCAACCCUUAUCUUUAGUUACUAACAGGUCAUGCUGAGGACUCUAGAGAGACUGCCGUCGUAAGAUGUGAGGAAGGUGGGGAUGACGUCAAAUCAGCACGGCCCUUACGUCCGGGGCUACACACGUGUUACAAUGGGGGGUACAGAAGGCAGCUACCUGGUGACAGGAUGCUAAUCCCAAAAGCCUCUCUCAGUUCGGAUCGAAGUCUGCAACCCGACUUCGUGAAGCUGGAUUCGCUAGUAAUCGCGCAUCAGCCAUGGCGCGGUGAAUACGUUCCCGGGCCUUGUACACACCGCCCGUCAAGCCAUGAAAGCCGGGGGUACCUGAAGUACGUAACCGCAAGGAGCGUCCUAGGGUAAAACUGGUAAUUGGGGCU
rnacentral:rRNA from 1 species